rnacentral:lncRNA from 1 species
UUCGUCCAUGCCUUGUCUAGGGUUCCUAGGGACGAAUUUCAUACCUCUUCUUUCUCUCUCUCUCUCUCUCUUGUCUCUCCAUUUGCUCUUGGUGUUUGUGAGCCAUUAGAGGUACUACACAUGUAGUACUUGCUUUCAAGACUUAGGGUUUGAAGAUUUGAGUUGUUAUUGCAAUAUAACAACAAGAGGUAUGUGAUCUAACCUUCUAUGUGUAUUUCGAAAAUACUAGGGCAUAUUAGGGUUUCUAUAUGUGUUCAUAAUGUUGUGUAUCUAAUAGUGAAAACAUAGAUCCAAUUCUAGGGUUGCAUGCACACAUAUGAUUGUUUGUUCAAAACCCAUCAGUGGUAUCAGAGCCUUUGGUUAACUUGUUUUCAAUUAGUAUUAUACAAUUGUAUGAACUUGACAUAUUAGGGUUUAUAGCCAAUAAACCCUAGGAGACUAGAAAUUUCGAGAUUAGGGUUUCUAUACCCUAAUUUGCGAAAAUUUGAAGGGGUUUUCAAAUCCUUUCCUUAAGCCUCACGAUUUCGAAAUCUAGGGUUUGAAAAACCCCAUGAUUUUCGAAAUUAACCUCCUCCCCAAGAUAAGAUUCUAGAUUUUAGGGAUUUGGAUUAUCCUAUAUCUUGUAAUUAUCCUUUAAUGGUUAUAUAUGGUAAUUAAAGAUUUUGAAUUAUCCUAUCCCAUGAUUUUCGAAAUAUAGAGGGAUUAAAAGGAUUAGGAUAAAUUAAUUGUUUAAUUGGUAAUUAUCCUUUAUGAUUUAGAUAAUCCCUUAUGAUUUAAUAAUUUAAAUUAAUAGUUUAAUUCAAGAUAAUUAUUAAAUCAAGAGUUUUAAUAUUUAAAAUUUUAAUUUAAAUAGUCUUAAAUUCGAAAAUUUUAAAGUGAGAUUAAAACCUAAAUAUUUUGAAAAGUUUCAAAACUUGCCCUCAAUUUUUGGAAUUUAAAUUGUUAGAUUAAAAGUUUAAUUUUGAAAAAAUGUUAAAUUCUAAAACCCUAAAUUUGAAAAGUUCAAAUUACACCCUUAUGGUUUUAUUAAAUUAAUUAAGUGUAUGAUUAAAAGAGAGUUAAUAAAUCCAUAAUGAUAAGGUUUAUAUUUUAAGUGUAAUUUAUAAAAUUUAAACCACCUAGUAUUUUAAAAGUGUAAAAUACACCCUUAUACUAUGUAUAACAUUAAAAGUCUAAUAUUAUAUAUGUAUAACUAAAAUGCUAGUCUUACCGUUAGUAGGCCUCAUUCACGAAGCCGAUCUUUGAGGGGGGUAUAAGGUUAUGGCCUAGAAAAUGGUCGUUUAAUGGGUAUCCACUCUUACCCACCGCUUCCUUGAUUGGUGGAGGGUCGUUAGCCGAACGGGUAGGAUAGGGCAAUCAUUUAUUCAUUAAUAAGUAUAAUGAAUCUAUGUAAAGUAACUAAACGCUUUUACAAAUUCCCAAUCGUAGUUACUUUAGGCAAAGGUGAAAUUGAUUCAAUCCCAUGAAAUUACACGUUGUACCCUUGCUAAGACGUUAGUGGAGCGCAUGUGGUUAACUGGCACACUAAUUGGGUUCUAAGCAAAGGUGGCAAAGGGUGACUCAAUGUUUGUCAUAGUUCGAUGGAGCGUGUGUGGUUUACCGGCACAUCAAAUAGGUGACUGUAACAAUGAGGGCACCAUGUAGAUUUGCAUGGUUAUUCACACCCACUUUAUGAUCCUCGGCAUCCCAGUCACAAACGAGAGGGGCAUAUCGAGAUUUAAACAUGCCAUUGAAAAGUUCAAUGAAUCUCAAAGGAAAUCUAGGAAUUCUUAAUACAUUUAAAACUUAAGCCUUUAUGUUUUUCAUGGUGAAGAAUUAGUGAAUCGUCAUUCACUUACCUCCGAAUUAUUUGCAUGUUGGAUUACGGCAUCCCUCUUCUAAUGUGUAAAUAAUGUUGUUGGAUCCUAGCCUUAAUGUCUCAUUUGGGUGUUUCAUUAAGGAUUCAAUCAACUAACUUGAAAUUUCUCCCGUUUUGUAGAUGUCUGAUUCUAACCGUGGUCUUCCCGAAUCCCAAGGAAAAGGUGUUCCUGUUGAAAGUGAAAGCUUGUUCCAAAGUGAAGGAUCAAUGUGGACUAGCUUGAUUUCACUCCCUCCUCUACCUCCCGUUGUUCUCCCUGACCCACAAGAUCAAAGAUUUGAAAAGUUCAAGAUCAUCGAAACCCUAUUGGCAAUGGAACAUGAAGAUGGUAAACCCGUGUGUGCUCACGUCCUAGGGAUGAAAUCACAUAUUGAUAGGUUGAUUAUGUUGGGUGCGUCUUUCCCCAAUAAGUUGGUUGUGGACUGGGUUCUUCAGUCACUCCCUAAAUCAUAUGAUAAGUUCAUAAGAGAGUAUUAUAUGAUGGAUCUUGACGCGACCCUCAUUGACUUAACUUACAUGCUUAUUGCUGCUGAAUCAGAAAUGAUUUGGCGAAGUAAUGGAGCAUAUUUGUCUGAUAAUUCAACCAACCAUGCUUCCGUGGACACUCUAGAAGAACCCACCUGUUUCUGCUGCCAAGAGAAGGGGCAAUGGAUACGAAGCUGCCCAAAGGACCUGAAGAGUCUAAGAGAUGGGAGAGUCAAGAAGUAUGGCUCUACUUCAGGUAUAAAAUCCACUAUCUAACUCCAUUAAAUUCCUAUUCUUUAUACAUAAUGUGAUAAGAUUACAUUUGCAUGUUUUGCAGGAUUAGAGAAAAGAGAGGAAGUUUGAUGGAAGAGCAAGAUGAGUCUAAUCACGAAGAAAUGGAUUACGAUCGCAUGGAUUCGAAGAUCAGAUUUUGAGCUUAGGAAGUUAUGAUAGAUUUGUUAGGAGUAUUUAAUAGUUUUUCAGUUGAAUUUUGGAUUGUAAGGACAUGUUUUCUGCUGCUUUUAUGAAUAAAAUAAAUUUUGGUUUAUCCUUACUAUGGCGUAUAUGAAAAAUUGAUGUUUGUGUACUUCUAUUAUUAGCAAAAUGGAUUUGAUUCUUGAUUAGGUUAUUUGUGGAAGUGUCAACAAUUUACCAAAUAGGGGAGUUUCUCAUCGCCCAAGUUUCAAGUGGAUAGGAACUUGGAAUCGUGCAACAAGUAUCGUAUGAUGAAUGAGAACUUUCACAUUUGGGAAAUUUAGACUAAUUUUUUACAAAGUGUCAAAUUAAGGACUAAGAGAUCGAGUACACUAGGUUGUAUGUUGAUCAAGUCUAACACAAUAGUGACAAAGAUAUAAAUCAUGAUUUAUUAAAGUUUAGUGAAUAUGGUUAUACCUAUAAGAUUGAGUAUAAUUCUAAGUUGAUUGAAAAAGUUUCAAUCAAUAGCAAAACGAAUAAGAAGAAUCAAGUAGGCAGAAAGAUAAAAGUUUCUCUAUUCUAAGAAGAAGGGAGAGUACAUUUUAUUAUGUUUUAUGAUAAGUCUUAAUGAUUAAGAUCCUUAUCUCAAUUGAUCCUCUAAGUGAGUCUUAGUACAAUUUAUAAUUCUAAAAAGAGGAAUCGAGAAUUAUGGAAAUGGUUAAAUCAAGAAGUCAAUCAUACUUCGUUCCAAUAUCAAGUCUUAGAGUAAUACUCCAAGAUUGUGAAUUGAGUGACAAGUCUUAAGAAGGUUUAUAACAUUCAUCAAAUGUGGAAUUUAGGAAAAGGUUUUCUUAUUCUUGCACAUUUGAAAUUGGUAAGUUGUGAUGUCUUGGAUAAGACAAAGACCAACUAGGACCAAUCAUGUGAAAUGUUUUGUAUUGAUAAAACUACACUAACUCUUGAAUAUUUGUUUGUCAAGAAAUGUUUCUUGACAAGAGAACCUUAUAUGUCAAGGAGUCAGUGGGAGUCUUAAUGGUCUUGAAAGGUUUCAAGAACAAAUCAAGAAUAAACCUUAUCAAUCAUCACUAGCACACGACUUGAGGUUUACAACCUAUCGUGUUGACACUAUUUUGUUUUCUGUGCCAUUCCAAUUGAGUUAUCUGUAUAUGUGAGUUCUACGAGUUCUCAAUGGAUUGUAUAGGGGCAAGACACCUUGUUCAAUGGAAAGUACAUUGAAAUGAAGGGGUGGGCUGCUCAAUAACUUGGAAGUAAUGGUGGGACCCUUGAUGGCAAGAAAUUAAGAAGAACAAGUUCUAUCCAUAAGAGUUUGGAUUUGUCACUGACAUUAUCUUGUGAUUAUGGUUAUGACGAAUUCACAUGGAUGGGAACGUAUACACCACAAAAUCUAAGUGUCAUAAGGUUUCUUUCAUUCAUGAGAAUGGUUGUGAGGAAACGCUUUCACUAAGAGAGAUUUUGAAGAUAACAUUAUGUGAUUUGGGUUUCUCAAAUUCAACUAUGAUUACGGCAUACCUCUUCAUAGUUCGAAUUGUGGGAAAUGGCAAAUGGGUCUGAACAUUUUAGACUUGUUGAUAUGAGUCCUAGAAUCGUUUAGACAUAUACAUAUGAGCUGUCCAAGGAAAAGUGUAUGAGGUUGAGAAGCUUAGAUAAAGUCUUAUCAAAGCAUCUAGUAUUAGAAAUAUGAACUUAAGAAAUUGUUUUCUAGAAGUUCAUCUGAUUUCUGAAUACAUGUCGAAGCUAGUGGAAGCAUAAGUGUUAUGCUGGUAAAGAAAUAAUUAUCAUGUAAGUGGGAGCAUGAUUAUUAUGGUAAGUAUUGCAAGUUAGCAAUAUUAAUUAUAGAAAACAAGUGUUAUGCUUUGCAAAGUCGUAAGGGUUGAAAAGUUGUUUUGCUAUAAUUAAGGGAGAGAAUAUUGUACUUCGUUUCAAAAUCUAAAGCUUAGAUUGAGAAAUUUUAAUAAAUUUAGUCAAAGGAUACAUAGUGUGUUCUUAAAUUUCGAUUAUGAUUACGGUAUCCCUCUUCAUAGUUCGAAUUGUAAGAACGUGACACAUAAAAUAUUAUGGCAGAAGAUUGAUAGAGUAUCAUAUCUUUAUGUAAGACAUUAUGCAUCAUGUCCCAUACGCUUCGGGUAUAGGAUCGAUUGCAAAUGCUAUAAUAUUUGACCAUUCUAAAAUUUUCCAAAUGUCUAGCGCAUUAAGAGGGAAAAAGGACAAGAAUCGGUUUUGACUAAGAUAAUUAAACAACUAUCAAAGGACGAUCCAAAGUUCGCUGAGGAUUGGUCGCUUGUGAGUAGUUGGAAGUAUAGUAUUGGAUGGACCAUAUCGACAUUAUUAUGAAUAGAUAAGAUUCUAUUAAGAAUGAGUUGUCAUGUGGUAAAUAUGGAAAUGUUUCCAUAUUGGGAGUUGGAUAUUAAGGGUUUAUGUCUAGAUUAGAAAAUUUUAUGCAAAAGGAUGUUCAAGGAAUGUACCUUGAGUAAGAGACAUCAUAUCUAUAGAAUUGUACUGCAACAAUUUUGAUAGAGUACCUUGUGAUUUCAUUGGCCGAGUCUUUGUGAUUUUUGUGUCGUGACUUCAUAAGAGGAUCAUUGCAUUAAAUAUUAGAAUUUGACAUAUUCUAAAAGAUGGCAAGAAUUUGGUAUUCUUACACUAAUAAUAAGGAUUGGGGAUUGUGAAAUGACUUUCAUUUGAAAAGUUUUUCAAUUGAUCUAUUACACAAAGUAUGGACCAUAGGAAACCAAAGUGUGCAUGCUUGGAGCAUGGGACAAUUGUGGUUGUGAUUCGAGUUAUAAAGUUGAUUAUCUGAAACAUUAAACAAUGGAUAAUGAGUAAUCAAUAUGGUGAUUAAAUAAAGGUGUUUUAUUUAUACUCAAAGGGUUGGGACCAUAUAGAAUUAGUAUUAUUCUUGUGUUUCACUUUGCAUGUUUUGACUUCCUGAAUAAUUAAUUAUUUCAUAAUAAUCAAAUUAUUCGAAUGGUCAACAGUCGUUCAUAUGUUGGAAGUAGGUAUGAAUGAAGACUGUCGUGAAUUGGUUUGUAGAUUGUCUAAAGUGUAUUAGACAUAACAAAGGUUUGCUGCAACGUUCAUGAGUGCUUAUGAAUAUGAUUUUGUGCAUUGGAUUAAACCCACACUCACUUGGAUCGCUUCAUGGAUUUUAUCACGAGCGAUUGGUGAGACGAUAAUAUCUUGUACUCUUGAAACCGAGAUGUGUGAGUUGUAUCUUGUGAAUCGGUUCCACAUUGAUAAUAUGUAAACGCACCAGUAACUUGGUGUUAUAAAACUUAUUGUUGUGUGUGAUUUGGUGAGUGAGUGCAAGCAAACAUUGAUUCGGAGUUUAUCCGUUCCUUUUACCCAAAGUGGGAUAAAAGCGAUAUAUGUGGGCCCCUCGAUGAUUUAGUGAUGACAAACGUAAAGGCUCGGCCGGGCUAGGGCUAAUUUGAUUUGUUCAAUUAGUCAGUCGUUGUAAAUCGGAAAUCGGGAAACAACACAUAGACUGAGAGAUAGAUUUCAAUCCAUGUCUCACGUCUAUACGAUAUCUAGAAUGGAGGAAUAUAUGAUCCCUUAUCUAAAGGACAUAUUACUGAUAAGAUCAGAGUUCGACAGCGUCUUUGAGAGCUAAGAUUGCUAAUCGGGUAGUACUUACUAUUAUAGUUACUAGACUUAUCCAAGUGGGAGACUGUUGGAUUAGUGUCUAAGCCUGUAACCAUAUUUGGUAAGUACUUGACCCGAUUGUGCAUGGUCCUUUUGGGUUGCCUUCACCAGAGCAACUUGACUGGAGAAAUAAUAGAGAAAGAGGUUAUUAUGAUUUAUUAAUAUGUUAUAAGAAUAAUAUGUUAAAGGAGAAAUCAUAUUUGUUUAAUUAAUAUUGGUCAAUAAUUAAUUAAGAUUUAAUUUAGUGAUCAAGUGUAAUUAAUUAAACUAGAGGGGUUGAAUUGUAAUUAUGUGAUAGUUACAAAAUAUGGUAAUGGUUAUCCUAGAUAUAGGUUGGACGAAUUCAAGGGUUAAGAUAUCCUUGAAAUCGUCCAAAGGAUAAGGAUAAGGGUUUUCAAGGCUUAUCUUAUGGUUACUUGGUGGGCAAGCAACUAGAUAAGGAUAAGGACUGAAACCCUAAUCUCUACACCUAUAUAAAGACCCCUAAGGCCAUAAGAAUUCGUCCAUGCCUUGUCUAGGGUUCCUAGGGACGAAUUUCAUACCUCUUCUCUCUCUCUUGUCUCUCCAUUUGCUCUUGGUGUUUGUGAGCCAUUAGAGGUACUACACUUGUGGUACUUGCUUUCAAGACUUAGGGUUUGAAGAUUUCAGUUGUUAUUAUAAUAUAACAACAAGAGGGAUGUGAUCUAACCUUCUAUGUGUAUUUCGAAAAUACUAGGGCAUAUUAGGGUUUCUAUAUGUGUUCAUAAUGUUGUGUAUCUAAUAGUGAAAACAUAGAUCCAAUUCUAGGGUUGCAUGCACACAUAGGAUUGUUUGUUCAAAAUCCAUCAAUAUUAUCUUCCUUCAUGCUCUUAUUAUUAGUGCUUAUGGUAGUAUGAUUGUGUGUGAGAUGCCAUAUGUGGUUUAUCUAACUUUCCACCUAGAAAUCAAAGUUUUCUUCAUGAUGGUCUAGACAUUUUAUCUUGAGAAUCUUUUUAUGCCAUUUCGCAUACCGAGAGCCAUUUUAGGGGAUAUUUGGGUGAGCUAGUCUUGGAUUUCGAGGUAGGAGGCAUAGUUCAUCAUCAUAAUAAACUUAAAAUGAAAAGAGAUCAACAGUCGAUUUGAUCUUUGGUGGUAUUAGCAAGAUUUCAAGGAAUCAAUCAGGUGGGCAUGACGAGUUUGAAUGCAACACAUGUAAGGGUUUUUCUUGUCUUGGAGGAAAUGAGGAAUUGGUUUGAUCAUGGGCGUAAGAUCGGUAGUUGACAAGUUCAUACCUCCGUAUAGUGGUCAGUUGCAGGUUCGCAUGAGAGUUGCUAUAAGUGCAAGUAGGUCAUGGAAUAGGUUGGGUACCCGUUUCGAUAGCUAAUAUAUUGUUCUUCGUCAUCCGAUAAGUCACCGAGGACUUGUAGCAAAGUGCAUAAGAAUACUUGGGGUUUUAGAGCUCAUUGAGAUUUCAGUAAGGAUUCAUCCGGUUUUGAAAUGUAUGGGAUCGUGAAGAUUGGAUAGUAAUGGAAUGCUAGUUCUUGUAAGUUCCUUUGAAUUGUGGGAUUGUGAGGUAGAUUAGAAAUCCAUCAAAUUUUUUGGACUGAAAAGAGCGCAAUCGAACCCAAGUAGGGGAGAAUUUUUUGGUCCGAGGGUUGCACAAGAAUGGAUAUUCAGGUUUCAUUGCACAUCAGUAGUGACGCUAGGUGGUUAUGUGAUCAGGAACACGUUAAGGGUGGUGUUAGAUCCUCUCUGUCUGUGCUUGUUUGAUUAAGGUU